rnacentral:lncRNA from 1 species
UAGAUUCAUUCCUCUGAGGACCCUCAAGUACUUCAGAAGAACUAAAAAAUGAAUAUCACGUUACACCAAAGAAGAAAUGAAAGCUGCCAGUGUCUUCUGAAGUUAAACAGGCUCCUGUUCUUUGACCCAGCAAUCCAAUCCUAGGACUCCAACUAAGCCACUAUGCUGGGAGCAGAGAUGGGGAAGAAUUGCUGAGUCAUGAUAAGAGAAGGCACUAUAGGAAGAAACAGUGAACUCUUAACAGCUGGGCAAGCAAUGAGUCAGCCUGGGUGGUCACUCCAGAUGCUCCCGGACACAUCCCAAUUUCUAGGAUGCCUUGCUUGAAGUGAUCUUUAAAAGCCAAGGAAAGGAAGACAGGAAAAAUGAAGAUAAAUCCCAAAAGAUCAAUAUUUACUUUUAGUCUGCAUUUAAGUGUGCAUCGUUGAGAGAAUCCACGGCAACUUUUAUUAAAGAUAGAAGUUGUACUUGCCAACACAUCAACAAUUUAUGUUUAGAAACAAGAUACUCAAUCUCAAGUUAUCUUCCCUCUGUAAGCCGCAUUUAGCUUUUUAAAAAUCAAGAUAUUGAGAUGCAUUAUACAUAUUGCAAAAUCGAUGUUUUUAGGUGUACCGUUUUAUAAAUCCUGACAAAUUUAUACCGUUGUGUUUACAAUACCACAAACAAGAAACAGAACAUUUCUAUCACUCCAAAU